AGCUGGUCCAGUAGUAGUGAGUCAACAUGAAUUACUACUGUUAAUUAAACUAACCUUUCUGUAUUCCAUCCCUCUGCUAACCUUGACCAUUCUUUU
rnacentral:Y_RNA from 12 species